UCCGAAGAGAGAGAUUCACGUCUUCUCGCGGGUUCAACGCAUCGCCUCUCUUCGACGGCUCUGCUCCCGCUCGGACUUGUCCGGCGCGUGGCGGUGGGGUCGCAGAGGGUGGUGCGGAGUCUCGCGGCGGACCGCACUUCUCUCUCAGUAGGACGUCGUGACCCGAUCGACCAUGGUCUUACGGUCAUGGGGUGGAGCCUGUCCGUGGGUGCUUGCACCUUUUCGGGCAGACCCCCGUGAUCCGGCCAUGGGUCAACUCGGUCGGUAUCGAAUGACGGUGUAAGGCCGCUCAUCGGUGGAAGGAAUUCCUACCCGUGAGCGCGAUUGCGGCCCUUGACAAGGUGCCGGGAUGUAGUCAAGGCGGGCUUACGUCCGUCUGGCUGCUUUCGGUCCUGUUGGUUUUGGUGCUCUCUCGCCGGUCACUCCUCGCGGAGUUCACCUGUCUACGGCGAAUCAGUUUUGGGCUCUUGUCCGACCCGUCUUGAAACACGGACCAAGGAGUUUAGCGUGUACGCGAGUCAUUGGGUUCUAACGAAACCCAAAGGCGAAAUGAAAGUGAAGGGAACUUGACGUUUCUGAGGGAAGAUGAGUUGGUCACCCGCAAGGGGCCACUCCGCACUCCCGGGGCGUCUUUAUCUCAUUGCAAGAGGAGGCGCACCCAGAGCGCACACGCUGAUACCCGAAAGAUGGUGAACUAUGCCUGGCCAGGACGAAGCCAGGGGAAACCCUGGUGGAGGUCCGCAGCGAUUCUGACGUGCAAAUCGAUCGUCGGAGCUGGGUAUAGGGGCGAAAGACCAAUCGAACCAUCUAGUAGCUGGUUCCCUCUGAAGUUUCCCUCAGGAUAGCUUGCACUCGGGACGAGACGAGUCUCAUCCGGUAGAGCGAAUGAUUAGAGGCCUUGGGGUCGAAACGACCUCAACCUAUUCUCAAACUCCAAAUAGAUGAGAGCCCCGGCUUUCUUGAAUUUUAUUCUAUGAAGCCGGUGGAUUCUGAUCAGAGUGCCAAGUGGGCCAAUUUUGGUAAGCAGAAGUGCGCCUGUGGGANNNNNNNNNNNNNNNNNNNNNNNNNNNNNNNNNNNNNNNNNNNNNNNNNAUGAAAGGCGUUGGUUGCAUAAGACAGCAGGACGGUGGCCAUGGAAGUCGGAAUCCGCUAAGGAGUGUGUAACAACUCACCUGCCGAAGCAACUAGCCCUGAAAAUGGAUGGCGCUGUAGCGUCGUGCCUAUACUCGGCCGUCAACGGCAAAGCUGGUUGAAAUACAUUUAUUUGUGUUUUACCGUUACGCCUUGACGAGUAGGAGGGCCGCGGCGACGUGCGUAGAAGGGUCUGGGCGUGAGCCUGCCUGGAGCCGUCGUCGGUGCAGAUCUUGGUGGUAGUAGCAAAUACUCCAGCGAGGCCCUGGAGGACUGAUGUGGAGAAGGGUUUCUUGUGAACAGCUGUUGCACAAGAGUCAGUCGGUCCUAAGCCCUAGGAGAAAUCCGAAGCGAUGGGUUGCCGUUCAUUCAAAAAUAUAUAUAUAUAUAUAAAAAAUGUUGGCACCCGUUUGGGCGAAAGGGAAUCCGGUUCCUAUUCCGGAACCUGGCAGUGGAACCGUUCCAAUUCGGGCCCUCUGAGGACUCGUCGGGGCAACCUGAAUAGACCCGGAGACGCCGACAGGAGGUUGGGGGAGAGUUGUCUCUUCUCUAUAAGCGAUCGAGUUCCCUGGAAACUUCUAGCAAGGAGAUAGGGUUUGGAUCGCGAAGAGCACUGCAGUUACGGCAGUGU
rnacentral:rRNA from 1 species